CUCCCCAUGUGGUGUUAUCUAGAAAGUGUUUGGUUUAUAACACUGUUCAGCAAGGAAUGAUUCCUGAGUGCAAAAUAAGUCAACAGGAGCUGAAGUCUAUUGCCUCUUAUGAAUGAAAAGCUCUUCAGUGUUUAUUGGCAUGUUGCAUGUGCUGUUUGGAGAGCCUCAUUAAUUCUUCAAAAUAGUCUCUUUUAAACUGAAAAAAAUAAAUUAAAUGGCAGCAAUGGGAGGUGAGUGCAAGUUCUACAUCACAUUCUUUGCAGCAAUUUGUCCCAAGACAGACUCCCUGAUACAGCAGCUGUGACUGCCCAUCUUUGGCAGCGACUCAUACCAAACAGUUUCCAUCACAUGCAAGAACAUGACACACCAGGGGAGAGAGGAGACAUUUUGCCUGAAUCUUCCUCCUCCUCAUCGCUGCAGUC